rnacentral:rRNA from 1 species
UACGUAGGGUGCAAGCGUUAAUCGGAAUUACUGGGCGUAAAGCGUGCGCAGGCGGUUUUGUAAGUCUGUCGUGAAAUCCCGAGGCUCAACCUCGGGCCUGCAGUGGGUACGGGCAAACUAGAGUACGGUAGAGGGGGAUGGAAUUCCGCGUGUAGCAGUGAAAUGCGUAGAUAUGCGGAGGAACACCGAUGGCGAAGGCAAUCCCCUGGACCUGUACUGACGCUCAUGCACGAAAGGCGUGGGAGCAAACGAGGAUACGAAACCCGAUAGAUC